UUACUACUCUCUCCGUCCAACAAAAGAUGUCUUAAGUUUGUCAAAAUUUGGAUGUAUCUACACAUGACUUAGUGUAUAGAUGCAUUCAAAUUUAGUCAAAGUUGAGACAUCAUUUGUUGGACGGAGGGAGUACAAA
rnacentral:pre_miRNA from 1 species